rnacentral:rRNA from 1 species
CAAUAGCGUAUAUUAAAGUUGUUGCAGUUAAAAAGCUCGUAGUUGGAUUUCUGGGCUGAGCGACCGGUCCGCCGCUGUGCGGUGUGUACUCGGGUGCGUCUCGGCUCAUCCUUGCAGGGAACGACAUUCGGCCUUAAUUGGUCGAGGUCGGGAAUUGCAUCGUUUACUGUGAAAAAAUUAGAGUGUUUAAAGCAGGCUUAUGCUGUGAAUACAUUAGCAUGGAAUAAUAAGAUAGGACUUUGGUUCUAUUUUGUUGGUUGGAGGCCAAGGUAAUGAUUAAUAGGGAUAGUUGGGGGCAUUCAUAUUCCAAUGUCAGAGGUGAAAUUCUUGGAUUAUCGGAAGAUGAACUUCUGCGAAAGCAUCUGCCAAGGAUGUUUUCAUUGAUCAAGAACGAAAGUUAGGGAUCGAAGACGAUUAGAUACCGU